rnacentral:tRNA from 1 species
UAGGAACUUAGGCUAAGCUUAAACCGAGGGCCUUCAAAGCCCUAAAUAAGAGACAUCCCUCUUAGUCCCUGA